GAUGAACGCUGGCGGCGUGCCUAAUACAUGCAAGUCGAGCGAACGGACGAGAAUCUUGCUUCUCUGAUGUUAGCGGCGGGCGGGUGAGUAACACGUGGAUAACCUACCUAUAAGACUUGGAUAACUUCGGGAAACCGGAGCUAAUACCGGAUGAUAUUUUGAACCGCAUGGUUCAAAAGUGAAAGACGGUCUUGCUGUCGCUUAUAGAUGGAUCCGCGCUGCAUUAGCUGGUUGGUAAGGUAACGGCUUACCAAGGCAACGAUGCAUAGCCGACCUGAGAGGGUGAUCGGCCACACUGGAAGUGAGCCACGGUCCAGACUCCUACGGGAGGCAGCAGUAGGGAAUCUUCGGCAAUGGGCGAAAGCCUGACGGAGGAACGCCGCGUGAGUGAUGAAGGUCUUCGGAUCGUAAAACUCUGUUAUUAGGGAAGAACAUAUGUGUAAGUAACUGUGCACAUCUUGACGGUACCUAAUCAGAAAGCCACGGCUAACUACGUG
rnacentral:rRNA from 1 species